GAAAUGCGAUAAGUAAUGUGAAUUGCAGAAUUCAGUGAAUCAUCGAAUCUUUGAACGCACAUUGCGCCCGCCAGUAUUCUGGCGGGCAUGCCUGUUCGAGCGUCAUUACAACCCUCAGGCCCCCGGGCCUGGCGUUGGGGAUCGGCGGAAGCCCCCUGCGGGCACAACGCCGUCCCCCAAAUACAGUGGCGGUCCUGCCGCAGCUUCCAUUGCGUAGUAGCUAACACCUCGCAACUGGAGAGCGGCGCGGCCACGCCGUAAAACACCCAACUUCUGAAUGUUGACCUCGAAUCAGGUAGGAAUACCCGCUGAACUUAAGC
rnacentral:misc_RNA from 1 species